UACGGAGGGGGCUAGCGCUGUCCGAAGUUACUGGGCGUAAAGCGCGCGUAGGCGGGUUGGUAAGUCCGCUGUGAAAGCCCGGAGCUUAACUCCGGAGGGUCGGUGGAUACUGCCAGUCUUGAAGGUGCUAGGGGGAGAUGGAAUUACCGGUGUAGCGGUGAAAUGCGUAGAUAUCGGUAGGAACACCAGUGGCGAAGGCGGUCUCCUGGGGCAUUCUUGACGCUGAGGCGCGAAAGCUGGGGGAGCAAACGGG
rnacentral:rRNA from 1 species